GCUUAUCUUGCGCAGCUUAGGUGGGAGGCUAUGAACCUUUUCUUCUGGGAAGAGGGGAGCCAUCAGUGAGAUACCACUCUUGGUAAGCUAGAGCGCUCAGUCUUCACCGUCAUCCGGUAAGACGACAGUUUCAGGCGGGCAGUUUGACUGGGGCAGUCACCUCCCAAAAGGUAAUGGAGGUGUGCAAAGGUUCCCUCAGGCUGGACGGAAAUCAGCCAUAGAGUGUAAAAGCAUAAGGGAGCUUGACUGCGAGACUGACAUGUCAAGCAGAGACGAAAGUCGGCUUUAGUGAUCCGACGGUGCUGUGUGGAAAGGCCGUCGCUCAACGGAUAAAAGUUACUCUAGGGAUAAC
rnacentral:rRNA from 1 species